rnacentral:rRNA from 1 species
AUGAGUUGUACAUCGAAGGGGAGCCUUUGUUCGAGGACGAGCUUGCUAACCAAGCCGCCGGGGGGGGAGCCUAAGCGCAAGAACAGGCGGACCAAGGCGUACACGGCAGCCGAGGACAAACUCCUUUGUGAGUGUUGGAGGGACAUUGGGCAAGACCCCAAGACCGUCGCCGAACAAAAGGCAUCAACAUUUUGGACUCAUGUGCAUCGUGAGUUCCAUGAGCGGAAGGAGUUUUCACCGUACCAAAUGCAAAGCGUGUGUGGGUGGGUGUCCAUUUCGAAGCGUUGGAAGGUGAUCCAACAAGAGUGCAACAAGUUUUGUGCCACUCUUAAGAGCAUCAAGGCACACCCUGUGAGAGGCAUCGGCAUGCAAGACAUGGUAUGCUAG